rnacentral:rRNA from 1 species
CAAACUGGAGAUGGCGACCGGCGCACGGGUGAGUAACACGUAUCCAACCUGCCGAUAACUCGGGGAUAGCCUUUCGAAAGAAAGAUUAAUACCCGAUGGCAUAAUAGAACCGCAUGGUUUGAUUAUUAAAGAAUUUCGGUUAUCGACGGGGAUGCGUUCCAUUAGGCAGUUGGUGGGGUAACGGCCCACCAAACCUUCGAUGGAUAGGGGUUCUGAGAGGAAGGUCCCCCACAUUGGAACUGAGACACGGUCCAA